GCUCCAUCCUAAGUCCAGCAUUGAAUAUGGUAUGGACAUGGCCCAUUGAGGGUGAAAGCCCCGUGUGGGUGGAGGUUCAUGAUSCCAGUGUCUCCCUGGGUAGACCUUGGAGUCGGGUUGUUUGUGAAUGCAGCCCAAAGUGGGUGGUAAACUCCAUCCAAGGCUAAAUACAAGCACGAGUCCGAUAGCGAACAAGURCCGUGAGGGAAAGUUGAAAAGUACUUUGAAGAGAGAGUAAACAGUACGUGAAACCGCUCAGAGGUAAACGGGUGGAGUUGAACUGCAAUCCUUGUGGAUUCAGCUGGUGAGUGUGGUUUGAGCUUGGUUAAAUUGGUUGAUCUCAGGGGUCUGCGUAUUGGCAGGUCUUCACCUUCGGGUGGGGAUGCGCGAUGCACCUACCAUGUGCUGUGCGCCUCGGGGUUAUCGGACCUACUCGCCAGUGCACUUCUGCAGGGUGUUCACCACGACCGGUGUCGCCGUCUGACUGUUGUGGUUAAACCGGUCUUGCAUUUUCCUUGUGAUUUUGCUUGGUCGGGAUGGCAGGUAGCUCUUCGGUGGCUGUGGCUUGCUGCAGUUGCCUUUGGGUGUAAUCAGCUGACUGCAAUGGUUCUGUGCGGUACGUCGGAGACAGCGGCUAGUUGUGUGUGCUUUCGUGCCAUUGCGUGGGCAUGCUCGGGUCUGAUUGUCAUGUUGCUCGCUUAAUGUGGGCCUGGCAGUGGCUCGGGUUUGUUCUGUGGUGGUUGCGUUUGUGUCACUUUACAGGGCCAAUAGUCUGUGGUGUAGUGGUAGACGAUCCACCUGACCCGUCUUGAAACACAGACCAAGGAGAGUAACAUGUGCGCGAGUCAUUGGGCGUAACGAAACCCACAGGCGAAGUGAAAGUAAAGGCUUGGCUUGUCCAGGCUGAGGUGAGAUCCUGCUGUUUCCCAUGCGCGGUACUACCAAGCAUCGAGCAG
rnacentral:rRNA from 1 species